ACUUAAUUCUCCUUAUUCCUUCUCUUUCAUUUGCCAUUGUCAUCCUUCUAUUUUUUUUCUUUCUUAUUCUCUUUCCUCAUUUAUUUCUUUCAUUUCUUCUUCUCACGACUGAACAAAUUAACUCUUCUCUCUUCCUCUUCUCACAACCGAACGAAUUAACCCUUCUCUCUUCCUCUUCUCGCAGCCGAACGAAUUCCUCUCUUCUUCUUCUCACAGUCGAACGAAUUAAUCUCUUCUCUUCUUCAUUCUCUGUCCAUUUUCUUCGUCUUCUACAUUCGACCUACCAAUGGUUCUCUCUUCUUCUUCACACUUUCUCUCUCACUAUUUUGUCCAAAUCUAUUUGCCCAAAAAUCGAUCUCUCUCUCAACCUACUUCUCCAUAUCUACGGUAUUUUUACCCUAUUUGGCACUCACUGGUUUUUCUACAUCGUUCAACAUCAUUUUCUUUCACGGUAUUUUGAUCCACACCGAUUUUCUAAACCUCACAUUUUUUUUCUAUUGUCUGUCGGCUCCGAUGUCCACGUGGGUGUGGGUGUCGUUGACAGGCCACAUUUAAAAAUAAAUGGCAUAUGAUGCCUUAUCUUUGGUCGGGCAUUCGUUGACUAAGUGGCUGCUUGCAUGGUUUGUUCUAUGGACUUGUCGCUCGAACGUCAUUCAUUGUAUUUUCCUUGUCGCUCGGUUAACCUUUGUGGCCGCGGCGACCUUCCCUCCACUGAUGAGUGACAGAUACUAACCAAGGGUUGUGGCUUUGGUGGUUCCGAGCAAAGUAGGACCGAGGAAAUAACAUCGGCCAUUUUUUUGACAUUUCGGGACAGAACUAAAAAAUCGAGUCUGGGACAUCGCCGUUCGGCUUUUGUGAGCAAGAAACUUUAAUAUUACUCGAAAUGAGGCCACCCAGCAGUUGGAUGUGAACUCUCGGGACCUCUGACAUUGUUCUAAGCUGUGUGGUUUCUUUAUAGGCCACAACACCGGCCCUUUUUACGACUUUUCGGGAUGGAACUAAAAAAUUGAGUCUAGGGCAUCGCCGUUCAACUUUUGUGGGCAAGAAACUUUAAUAUUACUCGGAAUGGGGUCACCCAGCUGUUAGAUGUGAACUCUCGGGACCUCUAACAUUGUUCUAAGCUGGUCGAUUUUUAACCAUGUGAAAAAAGUCUCGAAAAUUCACGAAUAACUACUAGGUGGCCUCACUUUAAGUAAUAUUAAAGUUUUUUCCCAUAAAAAUUGCUCAUAGAUGCCCCAUACUCAGUUUUUAUUUUUCUCCCAAUACUUUUCUUCGAAUGGUUUAGUUGUGUUUCUUUGAUUUUGUGGAAGCUAUUUAGACCGAUGAUAGUCGGCGGAUAAGUGUGGAAACCAUCUAUAUUGUACACUGUAUGACACAGAAAAAAAGCUCAGGGUCUAAGGGUCUGGUGGGGCUUGUUCGUGGUGCACAACGGUAGCGCCAAAAACAGUCCAAAAAUGGGCAAUGCCUUAGCCUACGAAAAAUCGGCCGAUUUUUAA